AAAAAGACUAGAUAUGUAUAAAAUGAAAGCAAUUUAUUUAAAACCUUACUUUUUAAUAGACGUUAACUGGCAAAAGUUUUAUUUAGAAUUCUAGUUCAAAAUAGCGAUUUACAAAAAUCUAAUUUGUCCACGAGAGACUGAGUUUUCACAAAGAUUAUUUAUUAGUUACUAAAUUUGUUUGUUUCGUAGUCAUAUAUGUAUUUUUUUUAUGAUUAUUGUUUAAGUGCUUCUGUUUUGUUACUACGGCGUUGUGUAUGAAGAUGAAUGAUAAUAAUCGUCAAUGAACAAAAAUACUUACUAGCAACUGCUUGCAAAAGGUGCAUAAGUACAUAUAUUUUGGAAAAAAUAUAUUGAUAUUCCUUUUUUAAGAAAGCUCAUGGUUGAACUGAUUUUAGGCCGAUUUCAAUAAUGCCAGAUUAAAAUAUGUUGCAACCCUCUUACAUUACAACUUUUUUAAAAACGAACUUCUUCCCUUGUACCUGAUUUAUCUCUCUAGUAUUUUUAGUAUUUAGUUAUCAAGAUUUUAACUGUCACAGUAUAUCAACGACAAGUUAUUUAUUUAUAUUGCAAACUCAUAAAAAUUAUCAUUAGUGGAUAUUUGAAGCAUGCAACUUAUUUUGAACCAUCAAAAAAAACGAGCAUGGUUUUCAAUCAGUAAAUCGAGUUAUUGACGAUUAUUCAAGUGAAUGUUUGAAAAAUAGGGCAGAGUGAUAACUACCAAAAUGUAUAUAACGCAAUAUUUUAUCAAUACUAUAAUGGUAAAUAGACCAGAACUUUGCGAUUCAUGUGCGCACUGUAUUAGGAAGCAGAUUUUCAAAAUACAUUUUUGUGGUCAUAUGAUCAAAUUUUCUGGGUUGAUUGGGAGAUUUUGUUUCAGUUUUAUGCCAAUUAAUAAUGUAACCAACUGGUUAUAUGUAUUUUGUUGAACCACCAUUUUUGGGGUAUCGGUUAAAAUUGUAAGUGAUGAAUCUCAUUGUAGUCGUAAUCGAGUGUUCAUGAAUACCAAAGCAUUACAGUAUUAUACGUUUCAAUCGGUUAAUAAGGAAAUCUGCUGAUAUUCAAUUUGCAGGAUGUUCCAGAGUUAAGUAGAUAUAUUUUAGGCAACAAGAAAUUUCUGGAAAAAAAUUCUAUAGUUGAAAACAACUUCGGAGUCAAUAUGAAACUUUCUCAUUCAAUUAAAUAAAAACUAUAAAAAUUUUUCUUCUUGGGAAUUAUAAAAUAUUAGGAACUAGUUGCCUAAAAUAACUACUCUGCACGUGUAUUGAAACGUUCUAAAAGUUCUGGUCAAUAUUAGAAUAGCAUUAGAACAUAUCACAUAGUCUUGUACAGGAAUACAGAACUGCGUCUCAAAAUUUAUUCAGGUAACUUAAAUAUGACUACAUUACAGUUGUAAACGACCGCAUGCCUAUAAUUGUAUAUAAUGUUAUUAUUGAUUUGACUGUGUUAUAAAAAAUAUAUUUAAUGAUAAUAAAGCUAGUCUGGCCUGCGCUCAUAAAACUAACUUCAAGCAAACGAAAAAUUUUAGUCUAAAACUGAAACAUUCCUUAAGCUAGUCUAGUGUUUACUUUCAGCCAUUAUUACAAAUUAUUUAUUUCGAGAAUAAAAUGUUAUCUUGUCUAAGUUAUCUGAAUAAAAUCGCAAUCCUACAUCUAGUGCUUUAAUAUUGUAGUUAUAAAACGAAUGUCUGUAAAUUUUAAGAUGAUGCUUUCUAAUGUCUAAGUUGAGUGGUCUCUUGAUAUAAGGAUGAUGCACAUUUCCAACAAAUCCCGUUUCUCCAGUUAUGAUGCUUACAAACUGAUGUAAAUAAUUGGAUUACUUGAAACGCCCACGUAAUGACGAUAGUGAGAUUGGGAUAACGAGUGCAUAUCGCAAUAUAUUUUCUUCACUUUCAGUAUUUGUAAUUUGUGUGUAUUAUUAUUCCUUUGGUUUAAAUGUAGUAACGCUGUAGGUAAUUCCUUAAUUAGACAUAUAUGUUUAGCCUAGAUGAACUAGAGUUUCGUCAUGUAAGGACUUGUCAUAUACAUAUAUAUUUGUAUUAAAUUUGAUCACAAAUUCGUAAACAUUCUGUAAUCUCUGAAUGUUUCAUUAUAUCAUAUUAAAUACUGUAUACCGUUUGACGUUACUUGUUCAUAUGUCAUAUGUUUUGUAUUAAUGCCCAAACACUUGUUUUUACAUUUGAACGGUAUUCUUAGAAUCUCUGAAUUAAAUUUGUUGCUACCUCAAGCGAGCUAGACAUUCUUACUUAAUAAUCGCAAUAUUUUUUAAUUUUUAAAGCCAUUCAUGUAUUUUUACUUUCUUCUAAGUUGUAGAGAUAAAUACGUAACUUUUUAAUUUGCCACAUUUCCUAGAGAUAAUUGGGCAAUCUUUGUAGCAAGUUUGUAUGACACACACCCUACUUAAUAUUACGGUUUAUGAGUUUUAUAAUUACUAUUUGAAUUAUAACUUAUACAUACCAUGAA
rnacentral:lncRNA from 1 species